UAGACUAUGUAAAGCAGGGAACAGAG
rnacentral:piRNA from 1 species